rnacentral:rRNA from 1 species
GAUGAACGCUGGCGGCGUGCCUAAUACAUGCAAGUCGAGCGAACGGACGAGAAGCUUGCUUCUCUGAUGUUAGCGGCGGACGGGUGAGUAACACGUGGAUAACCUACCUAUAAGACUGGGAUAACUUCGGGAAACCGGAGCUAAUACCGGAUAAUAUUUUGAACCGCAUGGUUCAAAAGUGAAAGACGGUCUUGCUGUCACUUAUAGAUGGAUCCGCGCUGCAUUAGCUAGUUGGUAAGGUAACGGCUUACCAAGGCAACGAUGCAUAGCCGACCUGAGAGGGUGAUCGGCCACACUGGAACUGAGACACGGUCCAGACUCCUACGGGAGGCAGCAGUAGGGAAUCUUCCGCAAUGGGCGAAAGCCUGACGGAGCAACGCCGCGUGAGUGAUGAAGGUCUUCGGAUCGUAAAACUCUGUUAUUAGGGAAGAACAUAUGUGUAAGUAACUGUGCACAUCUUGACGGUACCUAAUCAGAAAGCCACGGCUAACUACGUGCCAGCAGCCGCGGUAAUACGUAGGUGGCAAGCGUUAUCCGGAAUUAUUGGGCGUAAAGCGCGCGUAGGCGGUUUUUUAAGUCUGAUGUGAAAGCCCACGGCUCAACCGUGGAGGGUCAUUGGAAACUGGAAAACUUGAGUGCAGAAGAGGAAAGUGGAAUUCCAUGUGUAGCGGUGAAAUGCGCAGAGAUAUGGAGGAACACCAGUGGCGAAAGCGACUUUCUGGUCUGUAACUGACGCUGAUGUGCGAAAGCGUGGGGAUCAAACAGGAUUAGAUACCCUGGUAGUCCACGCCGUAAACGAUGAGUGCUAAGUGUUAGGGGGUUUCCGCCCCUUAGUGCUGCAGCUAACGCAUUAAGCACUCCGCCUGGGGAGUACGACCGCAAGGUUGAAACUCAAAGGAAUUGACGGGGACCCGCACAAGCGGUGGAGCAUGUGGUUUAAUUCGAAGCAACGCGAAGAACCUUACCAAAUCUUGACAUCCUUUGACAACUCUAGAGAUAGAGCCUUCCCCUUCGGGGGACAAAGUGACAGGUGGUGCAUGGUUGUCGUCAGCUCGUGUCGUGAGAUGUUGGGUUAAGUCCCGCAACGAGCGCAACCCUUAAGCUUAGUUGCCAUCAUUAAGUUGGGCACUCUAAGUUGACUGCCGGUGACAAACCGGAGGAAGGUGGGGAUGACGUCAAAUCAUCAUGCCCCUUAUGAUUUGGGCUACACACGUGCUACAAUGGACAAUACAAAGGGCAGCGAAACCGCGAGGUCAAGCAAAUCCCAUAAAGUUGUUCUCAGUUCGGAUUGUAGUCUGCAACUCGACUACAUGAAGCUGGAAUCGCUAGUAAUCGUAGAUCAGCAUGCUACGGUGAAUACGAUCCCGGGUCU